rnacentral:misc_RNA from 1 species
AAAAAAAAGAAAUUAAAUAAGACUAUUUUACCCUUAAUAUUUAAAAAUAUUACCUACCCCUUGAAACAUCCUUACAUGAAUAAUUGUUUAAUUCCUUAUAUCUUUGCCUAUUCCAUGAAUUGGAGACUAUCCUUUCUUUUCCUAUCCAACUAAAACUCCCAAACAUAAUGUUUGGCUCCAAAUAGAAAGAUAGAGGGAGAGCAAGAGAAAGAGGAAAUGUUGGGGAGAAUAGAAGGGAAGAGGUGGAUUUGGCAUAUGAGGGCACCUAUUUUUCAAAAAAUUUUUUUGUAAUAAAAUAAUCCAUAUGUCCAGAAAUUUGGCAAGUAAAGACAUUUUAUAUUAUUUUAUUCUAUGUUGGCACUUCUAAUUUUUGGAAAAGUACAAGGCCACUUGAUUGU